rnacentral:rRNA from 1 species
ACACAUGCAAGUCGGGCGGAUCUCUCUAAUUGCAGCAAUGCAAUUGGAGAGAUCGAGCGGCAAACGGGUGAGUAAUGGAUAGGUAAUCUACCAUAAUGACUGGGAUACCCCCUUGAAAAAGGGAUCAAUACCAGAUAAUGUCAGUUUAAAUACUUUUAAACUGAAGAAAGAUGGCCCAAAGCUAUCACAUUAUGAUGAGCCUAUCUCCUAUCAGCUUGUUGGUGAGGUAAUGGCUCACCAAGGCUAUGACGGGUAGCUGGUCUGAGAGGAUGGUCAGCCACACUGGAACUUAGAUACGGUCCAGACUCCUACGGGAGGCAGCAGUGGGGAAUCUUGGGCAAUGGGCGAAAGCCUGACCCAGCGACACUGCGUGGGUGAUGAAGAUCUUUGGAUUGUAAAACCCUUUUCCUGAAGAUGAAAGGUAGGAUUGAGAAUAUCCUUCCUACCCUGACAGUAUUCAGGGAAUAAGCCCCAGCCAACUACGUG